GGGGGCUUAGCUUAGUUGGUUAAAGCAGGCGGCUCAUAACCGCCGGAUCGGGGGUUCGAAUCCCUCAGCCCCUACCA
rnacentral:tRNA from 1 species